rnacentral:rRNA from 1 species
UGUGACUGCGUACCUUUUGUAUAAUGGGUCAGCGACUUAUAUUCAGUGGCAAGGUUAACCAUCUAGGGGAGCCGUAGGGAAACCGAGUCUUAACUGGGCGUUCAGUCUCUGGAUAUAGACCCGAAACCAGGUGAUCUAGCCAUGGGCAGGUUGAAGGUUGAGUAACAUCAACUGGAGGACCGAACCGACUAAUGUUGAAAAAUUAGCGGAUGACUUGUGGCUAGGGGUGAAAGGCCAAUCAAACCUGGAGAUAGCUGGUUCUCCCCGAAAGCUAUUUAGGUAGCGCCUCGGACGAAUACUACUGGGGGUAGAGCACUGUUAAGGCUAGGGGGUCAUCCCGACUUACCAACCCUUUGCAAACUCCGAAUACCAGUAAGUACUAUCCGGGAGACACACGGCGGGUGCUAACGUCCGUCGUGGAGAGGGAAACAACCCAGACCGCCAGCUAAGGUCCCAAAUUACUACUAAGUGGGAAACGAUGUGGGAAGGCUCAGACAGCCAGGAUGUUGGCUUAGAAGCAGCCAUCAUUUAAAGAAAGCGUAAUAGCUCACUG